UAGGUGGUGUUUGGAUCCAAAGUUGAUGGGCUAAAGUUUAGUCCCUAAAUUUUAGCCCCUAAAAUUUAUUCCUUGUGGGGUGUUUGGAUGCAAGAGCUAAAAGGUAGUCUUCCUUGAGCUAAUGACUGAUUUUCCCUCAUUUAUUGAUUCAAACAACAUGCAUGUCUCAAAUUCAUUUUUAUUGACUCCAUGCACAUGCAC
rnacentral:lncRNA from 1 species